CACUGCCAGCAGACGCGAGUGAGGGAUGGGGGCGCCUGAUAGCCCACAUCUCCAGGAGCAGAUUGUAAGCGUAAUCUCAAGGAUUCAUCCGCAGGGAGGAUCUGGGCAAGAACAAAAGCCCAGAAGUUUCUGUUUGUGUGGCAAGAUACAGAAACAGUGUGGGCUGAGAAGCAGAGGGGCAGGUCCUGCCUUUCGUGUAGCAAAAUGACAAUUACCCCAUCUUUCAGCAGGCUGUGCAGGAAGAGCUGCUACCCUUUCCUGUUUCCUGAGGACAUUUCAACAUGACUUCGAGCACAGUUAAAGUGAACUGCCAAGGUUAAGCGAGCUUUCCUUCCUUACGGAAUCUCCCAGCCCCUAAUUCUAUAAUACUACUCGCUUAGUUUGGCUGUGGUGAAACCCACCUUGUCCUCUACUAAAGAUAUGGAACGAAGACCUCGUCAGUCAAUCUUCCAUGAUCCCGGCCACCGCAAUUGGCUCAGGUCGUUGCUGCCAUGAAGUAAGAGUCUGUCUGGAAAUGAAGGCGAGCAGAGGCCACAAAGCUGAGACAUGGAGACAGAGAGAGUCCUGAUGUUAUUAUUUGAACCAUUGAGUCCAGCUGUGCCUGAAACUCUUCAGUGAGCCAAGAAAUUCCUUUUUGGCUUAAGCCAAUUGGAGUCGUGUUUGUGAUACUUGCAAAUGAAAGGAGUUAUUGACUAAUAAAACUGCCAUUUCUAUCUCUCCAAGAAUUAGGAAAUA
ensembl:lncRNA novel transcript